rnacentral:lncRNA from 10 species
UGAAAUAAGGGCUAAAUGCAGCCAGGACCAGUCUGUGGCAAGGAAAUUUCUCUCCUUCUGCGGAGUUGCAGAAAAAGAGGGAUGCAAGUGGGGAAGGAUGACAAGGAGUUUCAACUGUAUAAAUGUUUAAUUUCUCCAGCUGUUUGGUCCGUGGGUCAGCUGGGGUGUCUCCGCUCCUCGUGUCUCUUAUCCUCCUUGGACCUAGCCAGGAAUGCUCUCAUGGGAAUGGCAGAGGCAAAGAUGGUUGGGAGAAGAACAAUCACCAAAAAUGCAGAGUGGGG